UGUUGAUAGGAGCAUUUUAAUGUGGUAUUUUAAUAGUUAAUUCCUCACAUUUUGCUUAGUUAAUUCCUUAACGAAUCGAUUUUUAACUCAAUUUCUAUUUUCUUAGGUACAUUGGAGUAAAUGAUGGUGAAAUGAGCAUUAGGUCCACACUUACCUAUAAAUGAUGGAGAAAAAUGGAAAUGUACUAAAAGGUCAAUUUUACACAUUUUCCUACUCCGGCUAGGAGAAACCAAGCCAAGCAAGGAAGAAGGAGCGGCCGCCUGACCAAAUGAACUCCAAAUGAGCUGAAACUUUCCAGAUCCAUUCUAGACAUCCUAAGGAUCGUUUCUUAUGAAGAGUGCCAGAGCUAGAAUUGAGUGGAAGGCCUUCAAACAGUCAGCCCAAUUUCCUGCAGAAGCAAAACUGGAAAACUGGACCCGUAAGGAGUCCAGCAGCAUUUUCGGCCCAACCACAUGGAAUAAAAAUCUGAAAUUUUACCAGGGUGAUCUACACUCAUAAUGGAACAUUUUUUAUGAAGAGGUCAUAGUGAAAUUGGGAAUGCUUGUUGGAGAAAUAAUUGAAGGAAUAAAGGGGCAGAAACUGAUCUAAAAACAGCUCAACACCACAUGUUCAAGUUUCCUACCCACAUGAAGAAAGCUAGAUGCUUUUCUCUUUUUCCUUGGAUAUAUUUUUCUGCUCCAAUAGAUCAUCAUCACUUCCAUACUUCUACACCUUCAUGCCUUGCUUUCAUUUCAUCAUUACUCCAUCUUUUCCAUAUUUUACAAACCACUUUCAUUAUUUUUCUUCCAUUUAUCAUUUCACUCUUCUUUUUCUUCCCUAUAUAAACACCUUCUCCUCUCACUCUAAACACAUUCCUUCAUCCAUUUCAUCUUCUUUGUCUCUCCAUUUCCAUUCCAUUUUUCUCUCCAUUCUCUAGUUGCAAAAUUCUGCGUUUUCAAGUAAGAAGAAGAAGAAGAAGAAGGAGCCGGGAAUAUCAUAUCCUCCAUCGUCCACCUUGAAGGCUUGCUUCCAAGAUUCAAGAUUUCAACGUUUCAAGCACUCCAUCUCCAUCUCCAACUCACGGUGUACCGUCUGGCUGCAAGACGUAAAAUACAAGCGCUGCUUGGGAGGCAACCCAAUUCAGAAUAUAAUCAGAUUUGCUUUCUCUUCCCCUUUUACUCCUCCAUUUUCUUUUUGUUUUAGUAGUUAUUUUCGUAAAUUUCAUCCCUAUAUGCUUACUUAUUUCAUUGCAUGCUUUUAAUUGAUUACAUUAAGGAUAAUGCAAUAUUUAAGUGUGGGGGAAGGGAUUUAUAUUUUUGUCUUUCAUUUUGAGUCCUAUAAAUAUUUUUGAGUCCUAUAUUUUAAAAAAAAUAAUAAAAAAUAAAAAAUAAAAUAAAAUGCAUUCAUUUAGUCUUAUUAAAUUCAGCUUUUUACAAAAAAAAAAAAAAUAAAAAAAAAAUAAAAUAAAAUAAAAUAAAAUAAAAAAAUAAUAAAAAAAAUAAAAAAAAUAAAAAAAAAAUAUCUCCCAAAUUGUAUAUUUUGUAUUUCUUAGUUAAUUAUAGUUACUAACUUUCUAAUUUCUAUUCUGUCUGGCUGAAAGACGUUAAACUCAAGCGCUGCUUGGGAGGCAACCCAAUUCAGAAGUAGCUGUGAAGGAGUCUACCUACACAGAUUUGCUUUCUCUUUCCCUAUCUCUUUUUAUUUUUUUUAUUUUUUCUCUUUUGUUUUUAUUUUAGGAUUUAUUUUCAUAAAUGUCUUCUAUCUAUGCUUAUUUGUUUCAUUGCAUGCUUAUGAUUGAUUACAUUGAGGACAAUGCAAUAUUUAAGUGUGGGGGAAGGGAUUUAUAUUUGAGUCUUUUAUUUUGAGUCAUAUAUAUUGGAAAAUACAAAAAAAUCGAAAAAUGUCAAAAAUUAAAAAAAUUUCGUUGAUUUUAUUUAUUGAGUCUUAGUCCUUUGUUUUUAUUUUUGAGUCAUAGGAUGCCCUUUUAACUGUCUAGGAUGAGCUUAUAUCUCUGAAAUUAAGGCUAAAAGAUGAUCACAAGAUUGGGAUAAUAUUUGAUGAUAUUCUUUGGUUAAUUAUGAUUUAUGAAAAGCAUAUGAAUGUGUAGUAGAUAUGGUGCAUGCGUAACUUUGGUACAGAAUAUGAACAUGUGGAUGAUAAGUUAUGAUUCAUAAUAACCCUUGUGAGAAUUUGAGCCAUGUGCCCUUUCUUUGUUGAGUGAUUAAUGGAAAAAAAAAAAAAAAAUGAAUUAUACUCUUAUUUUCUUGGCGAUGAUUCUGUUGAUCUCAUUAUUCUUUCAUCUUGAUUGAUUACAUGCCAUAGAUUAAGUUUAAUGGACUAGAGAAUGCUAGAAUUCGCUCUUGUGCUUGUUGAGACGUUUUGUCAAUACAUGGCCCUGAUUCUGGAAAGGAUAGAGGCACCUAGGAACUACCACCAUUGCCAAAUAAGCCUGUGUCCCUAUUUGUGCCCGUCGUGGGACCCCCUUAGAUAAACCCCUUUGAGCCUACAUUAAGCCUUUUCUUUCAUCACCCUAAAAAUCCUUAACCCCUGAACCUUAGUAUAGUUAUAAUCCUACCCUUUGUUCUAAAAACUUAGUGGAGCUAUCUUUUGAGACUUACUACAUGAUGGUGACAAGGAUUGAGAAGAGGUGAAAAUUCAAGUGUGGGGGUAGACUUGUCCAUGAAAAAAAAAAAAAAAAAAAAAAAUAUGUAUGUAUUGCCGUGAAAAAAAAAAAAAAAAAAAAAAAAAAAAAGAAUGUUUAUGGAUUUUAGUCCCCCAUACUUGGUGAGUUUGGAGAUUGUUUUGAAUUGAAGGCCCACUAUCGAAAAAUUUGGUCUUUGUCCAAUUCACUAGAAUCAAAGGGAGUUUAGAAUGAAGAUGAAGACAUUAAGCCCUUUUAUAAAGCCUCAUGGGUAUGACGUUAUGCCUUGGUGGAUUUCUAGAAGUCUCUCUAUAUCAACAUGAGCUCUGCUAGGUUUUUAGGAUACUUUGUUAAAAAUUCCUUACCCUUUCAUUUCUUAAAACCUUGAGCCUUAGCCCCAUUACAACCUUUGAGAAGACCUUCUUGAUCCUUAAGAUGGGACAGCCUUUGAUGUGGAGAUGAGUUACAAGAGUUGAACAUAUGGCUUGGGUCCAUUCGUAAAAGUAGUUGAUAUCUUUCAUGAGAUCUUUUAAAAAAAUUAUAUUCACAAAGUGCUUUUUGUUUCUUAUAUAUGUGAGCUAUUUGAUUGCCUCAAAAUAUUUUCUCUCACAUAUAAUUGAGUGAUUAUAAGCUUUUAAGCAUGAGCCUUGAAUAUGAGAGAAGAAAGAGUGAUAUAUCCAUGUGAGGUUUGAAUCAUGACUUGUUUGAAAUAUGUUGAGCUCCACUCACCACCAUUGUUUACUCCCAAGUCUUACAUGCUUAUAUGUGGAUUAUAUUUUGUAAUUAGCUCUUGAAUAUCUUGAUGAUGUGAUUCUUGGUUAAGUGCUAAUCUUGGUGACUUGAAAGUAUGAGAUUUCUGAGACAAUAUGUUAAAGGGCAAUAGAGGUCUUUGUGAUAUCAACAUCAUGGUCUUUGUCUUUGAAUUUCCUCUUUUAUGUGUGACGUUUUUUUUUUCUUUGUGUUUUGCUUUGUGUUUUACGUUUUUGGUUUCUUUGAGUCUUUGUGUUUUUGUUUCCAUACUUAGUCAUUUUUUUUCGUUGGUUUCUUUGUUUUGUGUCAUAGUCUUUUUGGUUUGUUAGUUUUUGAUUUUGCUAAGGGACUAGCAAAAGCUAAGUGUGGGGGAAUUUGAUAGGAGCAUUUUAAUGUGGUAUUUUAAUAGUUAAUUCCUCACAUUUUGCUUAGUUAAUUCCUUAACGAAUCGAUUUUUAACUCAAUUUCUAUUUUCUUAGGUACAUUGGAGUAAAUGAUGGUGAAAUGAGCAUUAGGUCCACACUUACCUAUAAAUGAUGGAGAAAAAUGGAAAUGUACUAAAAGGUCAAUUUUACACAUUUUCCUACUCCGGCUAGGAGAAACCAAGCCAAGCAAGGAAGAAGGAGCGGCCGCCUGACCAAAUGAACUCCAAAUGAGCUGAAACUUUCCAGAUCCAUUCUAGACAUCCUAAGGAUCGUUUCUUAUGAAGAGUGCCAGAGCUAGAAUUGAGUGGAAGGCCUUCAAACAGUCAGCCCAAUUUCCUGCAGAAGCAAAACUGGAAAACUGGACCCGUAAGGAGUCCAGCAGCAUUUUCGGCCCAACCACAUGGAAUAAAAAUCUGAAAUUUUACCAGGGUGAUCUACACUCAUAAUGGAACAUUUUUUAUGAAGAGGUCAUAGUGAAAUUGGGAAUGCUUGUUGGAGAAAUAAUUGAAGGAAUAAAGGGGCAGAAACUGAUCUAAAAACAGCUCAACACCACAUGUUCAAGUUUCCUACCCACAUGAAGAAAGCUAGAUGCUUUUCUCUUUUUCCUUGGAUAUAUUUUUCUGCUCCAAUAGAUCAUCAUCACUUCCAUACUUCUACACCUUCAUGCCUUGCUUUCAUUUCAUCAUUACUCCAUCUUUUCCAUAUUUUACAAACCACUUUCAUUAUUUUUCUUCCAUUUAUCAUUUCACUCUUCUUUUUCUUCCCUAUAUAAACACCUUCUCCUCUCACUCUAAACACAUUCCUUCAUCCAUUUCAUCUUCUUUGUCUCUCCAUUUCCAUUCCAUUUUUCUCUCCAUUCUCUAGUUGCAAAAUUCUGCGUUUUCAAGUAAGAAGAAGAAGAAGAAGAAGGAGCCGGGAAUAUCAUAUCCUCCAUCGUCCACCUUGAAGGCUUGCUUCCAAGAUUCAAGAUUUCAACGUUUCAAGCACUCCAUCUCCAUCUCCAACUCACGGUGUAAUUCAUUCUUUUUCCUUAUUUAAUUUCGUAGGAAUUUGUUUCUAGUUAACAAUAACAUUAAGGGCAAAGUUUAAGCCCAAUUUCUAUGUUUGAAUAAAAAUUGUGAUUUCUUUAUGUU